rnacentral:lncRNA from 1 species
CCACGUCUGGGCACUCCUGAGUCACAGGCUCAGAAGCUUUCGCCUCCGCCUUCAGACUGGCCCUCAGGCUUCCCUGCUCAGAGGCAGGGAAUUGUGCAGCUGGAGUUUCAUUUUCCAAGGGAGAUGUGGACACACGUAGACAUGUAUGGAGGGAGGAUGUUGUGGACACCCAGGGAGAAGGUGGCACCAACAAGCCAGAGGCAGGGUCUCAGUCUG